UGCAGGGACUUCAUUCUUCGUUAUUUCUCCCGCAUUCACACUAACAUGGCGGGUGAAGUUGCCGACAACGAGCAACUGUUGCAAAUUUUUGAGGACAUUUUUGAGGGGUUCGAUAAGUCUGUAGUCCGCCUAAAGAAAGAUGUUCCGGCUAUGUGUGAAAAAGUAACUGAACUUUUAGGGAUGUGCCAAGAAUUGCCAGAGGAAACAAGGAACUCCUUUGAAACAGCAUUUUAUAGACAUUUAUUGCAGCUUAAGAUGUCACUUGGUGUUUCACUUCACGAAAUUGGAAAUUGAAACACCGCUGAAAGAACUCGAGAACUUGGGAAAACAAAUCGGUCUGACUGAAAGAGAAUUGAAGAGACUAUCCGAUGCAUUUUGGGCCAUUGACCCUGGAAGCAGAAUUUUGGAAAUUUGAUAAGGACAAGCAAACAGCUUCUCGAGUGAAGGAAUAUGGACGACGACUCGCUUAUAUCCAGUUCAAACACAUCAAAAGCUAGAAUUUUUAACUGAAAACAAAGGUGUUCCGGGCUCGAAGUUCGAGCAAGACUCAGAGAACUAUAUGGUAUCACAAUUGAAGCGUUGGCUUAAGUGUAGAGGUUUAAAAUUGAGCGGCAAACGAACAGACCUCAUUGCACAUGUUUGCAAUUGCCUCAAAUCGGGCAACUUUUUUGUCCUUGAUUCUAGCAUAGACAAUGGGAAAUGGCUGGAAGCAAAGAUUUUGGAAGAGAAGAAAGUCGAUCAAAGGCAUUAUCAUGAUCUGGCAGUUCCAGUAAUUCCAAAAACUGGAUGGAGAGCAUUCCCAUCACAAGAUAUCCCAUCACUUUUCAACUGUGGACAUGUGUGUCACUAUGCUUUGGAAUCCCUGCCAUUUGUUGAGGAUAAUACCGCAGAUGAAGAGGGCAACGAAAUUCUUGACACUGGACUAGGACACAUGACAGACAAACCAUUUAGCAUGGGCAGAAAGUAUGUUGAUUCUGGGUUUGUUCACAAUUUAAAUGACAACAAAACUGACAAGCACUACUUCUUGAGAGCACAUGUUUGGCCAUUGAUGUAGGGUGACUCACCUCACAAUGUGAACGUUGUAUUAUCCGGAAAAAGUGGAGCAGUUAUCCAUGCUUCUUGUUCUCCGUGUAAAAGAUCUGAACUUGGUCAAUGUAGCCACGUUGUAGCAGUCUUACAUUAGUUGAGCAUGAAAACAAACACGGGUCAAAGACAACAAUGCCUUGCACAAGUCAAGAAUGUACUUGGAAUAAAGGAAAAAACUUAAAAAGAAUCCACUAAAAUUAUCUGAUGCCAUAUAUCGGACUGAAUGAAAGCAAGGCAAACUACAGGUCAUCGACUUUGAUCCUCGACCCAAGGAGUUUCAAAAAGUUACAAGCAAGAACAUCAACAAGUUAGUAGUUAAUUUGAAAGCCAUAUCAGUCGACCAAAAGAAUGUGUCAAUGUGGGAAACUCAGUUGCUUGUUACCUACGAUGACUACUGCUUUGAUCCAUCAAAUCUGCCUCUAUAGCGCUCCUCACGAUGACGUCACGAAGACGGGUCAUGUUUAUGUUUAGGUCUUCGGUUGGCAAAAAGGCACGUGUGACCUAGUUUUUACAGGUCAGUGAGGGAGGUUGUUAUAGAAAAGGUUUUGCGAUUUGUAGAGAGUGGUCGUUAGUUGUUGGGUAAUUGGGUGUGCAAAUCACUUUAAGAAGGGUUCAGGUCUAAAAUUUUUUAGGUUUCUGGACACACAACCAAAAAGAACCUGCUGGAUAAACACAAUUCGCAGGAAGAAUUGGGAGCCAAAUAAGCACACACGUGUAUGCAGUAUACAUUUCUUGUCAGGCAGUACUACAGAUGAUGCAAACGACCCCGACUACGAGCCUAACUUGCAGAUGGGCCACAGAGAUGAUGGCAGAAAGGAAAGGGCAAGAAAACGUAAAACGCGGCUCGAACGAAGUCAGCAACGUUCGAAGGCGAAGCAAGGGCAGUCUAGGCAUGAAGCCAAGCAGUUGGAAGAAGCCAAAACACUUCUUAGCUUGUCUUCAAUUCGUCCACCCCCACUUGAAAAUCUGGAAGAACCAGAUGAAAUGCAAAUUGCCAACCAAAAACUGCAAGAGGAAAAUAAGCAGAUCUAUGCAGAAUUAGUAAGGCUUCAGGAGGAGAACCGAGAGCUUAAAGACAAACUAAAAAAUGUUCCUUCAGUGAAGAGUCUCUUCAAAACAAUGAUUCAAGAACAGUUUUUUACACUGGAUUUCCCAAUUACAAAACUUUUAAUUGGGCAUUAAAUUACUGUAUACCAGUGCUGCCUAUUUCAAAGGUUUUGUCAAGUGGCAGUGUGUUUCUUUUAAUUUUUAUGAAGUUAAGACUAAAUCUUAUUAAUCUAGAUUUAGCAUAUCGAUUUAAUGUUUCUGAAGGUUUAGUUUCCAAAAUACUAAACAAAGGUCUACUAGCAAUAUCUGGACGAUUAUCUUUUUUGGUGCGAUGGCCUACUAAAGGUUAAAUUAUUCGCACUUUGCCCUCAAUGUUUAAACCCACUUACAAAAACUGUAGGGUUAUAAUUGACUGCACUGAAAUAUUUUGUGAAAGGGGCAGAAAUUUAACCGAGAGCCCUUACUUGGUCAAAUUAUAAGCACCACAACACCCUUAAAUUAUUAGUUGGCAUUACUCCUGUUAGUGCUGUUUCAUUUGUCUCCAAUGCCUAUGGUAGAAGGGUCUCUGAUAAAGUCAAAACCCAAAAGUCUGGCUUUUUAAAUAACCUGGUGCAUGGUGAUUCAGUGUUAGCUGACAGGGGUUUUUUUAAUAGAAGAAGAUCUUGCAUCAAGGGGAGCUAGGUUGGCAAUCCCAGCUUCACAAGAGGUAAAAAACAAUUAAGCAUGAACAGUGUGGAGCAGUCUAGAAGACUUGCAUGAAUCAGAAUUCAUGUUGAACGAAUGAUGGAGAGGUUAAAAAAUUUUAGAAUUCUGGCAGGCAUUCUACCAAUAACCCUUGCUCCACAUCUAGACAACAUUGAAUUAAUUAUAGCAGCUGUUAGCAAUUUACAUAAAAAAUUGGUCAAGUAAGAUCACCCUGGUGUGUCACUGCUCUAUAUGUUUCAUUUUCACAACAAACCCAAUUUGUAAAUUAAACAUUUUCUUAAUAUUUUAAUAAUGCAGGUACUGUGUAUGCACAUCAAUUUAAUGUACAUUUAUCUAGAGAUACUACAAUAUUUAAAUUCCUUUUAAAUUUUAACAAAUCAUGUGAUUGGAACAUUUCAAUAAAAUACUUAUAACAAAAAUUGCAAGUCUAAUUUUUGCCCUGUGUGGUAAACUAUAGUGAUUUUUAAUUGUUUUUAAAAUACAGUAAUGAAAAUUUAUCACACUCGUCUAAAACUGCCUGAACAUGUUCCAAGUCAUAUUUGAUUUCUAAAACAUUAAUUGCUACAUUUUUGCUCACACAAAAAUGUGCUGCUUCUAGCCUGUUCACAUGCAUUCGAAUCUGCAUCUAUCUGUAGUAUCGAUGAUUGCAUUUAAGGUCUCCUUCUUCCGUUAGACAGAAGUCUUUAUCUACCUUUGCUGCUUGAAGUGGAUCCAUGUCUUUGUAUUUGGAUGGGUAUUUAAUUUCAAGGACUUGGUUUGCAGCAUGACCAAGUUACAAACCCAUCGGCCGAUGCUCCAAUAUAGGGUCGUCCGAUAUCUAUCACCAAUCCAGAGCACCAUUAUCAUUUAAUAAACCACUACAUACCCUGCAAUACAUGUGCAAUGUGCGCAGUAAACUGUUGCAUCUUUUUUGUGCAGACAAACCCAAGGGUCGUGUGCUUUGUCAUUAAGUCGCUGAGAAAUGACUCAUCCUUUUACACAGCUGUAUGGAACAUUAUCACCGAGGAAAUGGAAAAAGAUCGGCCUAACAUGGCCACUAACAAAAAACUAAAAUGCCUCGAGCGACUUGUAGGCUUUGAGGGCUUCUUUAGUAUAGAUUCCAGGAGUCUCGAUCAAGUACAUGUAGAUAUCACCAAACUGAAGAUCAGGCCAAGUGGAUGGAUUAUUUUCCCAUUUCUUGAGAGAGUAGGGGUCUGGAAGUGGCUUAACUUCUCCUUUAUCUUUGUAGCUAAGUUUUUCUACGUAUCGAGCCUUUGCAGUAGAAUCUAGACCCUUAAAAUAAUCUGAAAACUUCGAUUGAUCUUCACAAGCCGCCAUAUUUAUUUCGUAAGCACGCUUGCUUUUGCCAACCGUAAUACUGCGCAUGUGUCAACAUGAGGUCUUUGUUUAUAAACAUUGAGGAGCUCUCUCUUAGUGAACAUCA